GCACUGCUGAGGAGUCCCACAAUAGGACGAAACGACCGUCCGAUGC
rnacentral:hammerhead_ribozyme from 1 species